GCCGGAGUGGCGGAAUUGGCAGACGCAAGGGACUUAAAAUCCCUCGAAGGUUACCCUUCGUACCGGUUCAAGUCCGGUCUCCGGCACCA
rnacentral:tRNA from 1 species